rnacentral:rRNA from 1 species
UUGAACGCUGGCGGCAUGCUUUACACAUGCCAGUCGAACGGUAACAGCACUUCGGUGGCUGACGAGUGGCGAACGGGUGAGUAAUACAUCGGAACGUGCCUAGUAGUGGGGGAUAACUACUCGAAAGAGUAGCUAAUACCGCAUGAGAUCUAAGGAUGAAAGCAGGGGACCUUCGGGCCUUGCGCUACUAGAGCGGCUGAUGGCAGAUUAGGUAGUUGGUGGGAUAAAAGCUUACCAAGCCGACGAUCUGUAGCUGGUCUGAGAGGACGACCAGCCACACUGGGACUGAGACACGGCCCAGACUCCUACGGGAGGCAGCAGUGGGGAAUUUUGGACAAUGGGCGCAAGCCUGAUCCAGCAAUGCCGCGUGCAGGAUGAAGGCCUUCGGGUUGUAAACUGCUUUUGUACGGAACGAAAAGCCCUCUUCUAAUACAGGAGGGUCAUGACGGUACCGUAAGAAUAAGCACCGGCUAACUACGUG